rnacentral:rRNA from 1 species
AUACGGAGGGUGCAAGCGUUAAUCGGAAUUACUGGGCGUAAAGCGCACGUAGGCUGUUGUGUAAGUCAGGGGUGAAAUCCCACGGCUCAACCGUGGAACUGCCUUUGAUACAGCACGACUUGAAUCCGGGAGAGGGUGGCGGAAUUCCAGGUGUAGGAGUGAAAUCCGUAGAUAUCUGGAGGAACACCAGUGGCGAAGGCGGCCACCUGGACGGGUAUUGACGCGGAGGUGCGAAAGAGUGGGGGGCAAACAGGAGUAGAUACCCUGGUGGUCCACGCGGUAAACGAUGGAUGCUAGAUGUCGGGGGGUUGCCCUCGGUGUCGUGGUUAACGCGUUAAGCAUCCCGCCUGGGGAGUACGGUCGCAAGGCUGAAACUCAAAUGAAUUGGCGGGG